AGAAGGGGGAGGGGGGAAGGCGAAGGCCGCCUAGAAGAAUCACGUGUCUACUGCUUCCGCCGGCGCUCGAAAGACCUCGCGAGAAUUCCGUUCCACCUCCCUUUCUGCCCCGCGGGCUGUCGGGAGGAAGGUCUGUGCUCUGCCUUGCCACGAGGAGGUCAGCUUGUGGCCCGGGCGCAUGCGUCCCACACCUGCUUUCAAAGUCGGGCUAGGAGGGGCCCGGAGCUAUUUUCAAAAUGUUUUUGGUGUGUGUGGCUUCGGUCCAGGAAGUUACCUAGUGGCGUCUCUGUCACUUUGGAAAGCUCUUCAUUACCCAGUCAGCCGUAGAAAGAAAAAUAUUCGCGGAUUCACUGCUUGUAAUAGGGACGCCUGGGUGAUUCUUGCCCCCUACUGGCGGCGUGUCCCACUGGCCUUGUGCUGAGAGAAAUCCAAGUCUCCAAACAUUUGGAGGUUAAAGUGUGAACUUUUCAGAAGAAAGUAGAGGCAGAGGGAAGAAGAAAGAAAAUAAAAGUCAUGGCAAGAUGAUUACAAAUCAUUCAACUCGAACUCAGCGUUUGUAUGUACUACAGGAAACUCGGAAGCCUGCUGUGCAGAUAACUGCUGUGGUUGGAUGUGCAUUCUAGAAGAAUCACUCAGGAAGCAACGUACCAGAUGGAUCCUAAGAACUGGACUGCAGGUAUGAGGAGUAGACAGAAGAACAGAAACUGAAAUGGAGUAAAAUUGUUGAACAAUAGAAGAAGACCAGGUUCAAGAAAUACUAGGAGGUAAAGCCAAUAACACACAGUGACUGGUUGGAUAGGGUUUAUAAGGAGAGAAGAGUCUAGAAUGAAGCCUCAGUUUCUCACUUUUGUACCUAGGUAGAUAACAAUGCCAUAGCUGAAACUGUGACCUCAGGAAGACAAACAGAUGUGGAGAGGAAGACAGUAAUAUGGAAAGUUUUGCGUAUCUAUUUUUACGUAAUAAAGAACCCCUAAACCUAACAACUUAAUGAAACAACCAUUUUAUUACUUCUUAUGAUUCUUCAAGCUGGGCUGAGCUUAGCUGGACAGUUCUGCUGGGCUUGCUAAUAGUCACUUGUGUAACUAUAACUAGGUGGGCUCAGCUAGGAUUCUUAGACAGCUGUUAUUGCUCUGUUUGCAUGUAGUCUCUCUAGUUGCCUUAUAGUUCUUACAUGGUGGCUCUGGGCUCCCAAGAACACAAAAGCAGAAGCUUCUAGACUCUUGAAUUUUAGCCUUGCAACUGACACAGUGAUGUUUCCACCGCAUUCUAUCAAUUAAGGAGGCCACACAAGACUCAAGGAAAGACAACACAAGAGUAUGAAUGGAGGGGGGCACCUGCCUGGCUCAGUUGGUAGAGCAUACAACUCUUGACGCUGGUGUGAGUUCAAUGCCCAUGUU